GCGGGUAUGGCGAAAUUGGUAGACGCGUAGCAUUCAGAAUGCUAUGGCUUUAAAGCCAUGGAGGUUCAAGUCCUCCUGCCCGCACUA
rnacentral:tRNA from 1 species